rnacentral:lncRNA from 1 species
CCUUGCCUUGUUUCUUCAGAUGCUUACGAAGACCUUGUGAUAGCAUUUAUUUGCUACCUUUGGCUGAACAAGACCAUCGGAAGCAUUGCAGAUGAUAAAUACAGGAUGGGUAAGGGAAGAAGCUGGAAAGCGGCAAAGUGAAAAAUGAAGUGGAGAAAGUUAAACUGACAAAGGAAACUUACUCGAGACCGUUGGAAUGCGAGAGCCACUGAACUACCCUGGAGGAUAGGAUGUUGCGGGUAACGAGGUAUCUAGUUUAUUCAAAGGCCCUGCUGAGCAGCUGUAAUUUCUACAGUGUAUGGUUCCUCAUCCAGCUAAGUCUCAAGACUGAACGUUAUUAUGGUCUGGAUUCUUUCACAUUUCCUGCGAACAAAGGGACUAUGGAGAUAGAAAAAUGCAAUGUUCUGUUUAUGCUUCAUACUUGGCCCAGUAUUGCCAAAGACUGCAUUGAAAUGAAAGGAAAUAUCCAGACAAUUUUCUCUCAUCAGACUCUUUUAGCCUGACACAGGCUACAUCUUGUUAGUGAGAUUCCUUCUAACUGACAGUGGUGAAAAUGGCAUUUUGGCAGUGGUUACAUUUUAAAAGGUGGCAUAGAAGGGUGGCAGUCCUGGCUUUCUGGUCAUGACAGAUUGCUCAUGCAGUAGUAAUGCACAGAUGACAUGAAUGUCUCUGAGCGAUUUGUUUUCCACCCACUUUGUUGAUUAUAGGCACAAGUGAUAUUUUAAUUUUAAUUAAUGCCUUUGCAAACAAAUGAACAGGCC